UGAUAGCUUGCCGGGGCCAGUCGAACUCCACGUAAGGGGUCAGGGAAUCCGGUGCGAAUCCGGAACUGACGCGCAGCGGUGAGGGGGACGGGCGGGGCCACGGCCACUGGGACCACCCUCGGGUGUCCUGGGAAGGCGUCCCGUCCGAAGGAACCCGAGUCCGAAGACCUGCUGGCACCCGCGGCCCGGC
rnacentral:ncRNA from 1 species